rnacentral:misc_RNA from 1 species
CACAAUAAACAUACGAAGGCUGCACCGCCAACAGGCGGCAAGGCUGGAGUAUUUUAUUACCCUUGUCUUUUGCGCACUUGUUGUUUUCCUGGGCGGGUUUCGCCCGCCACCAGGGAACCACAACCAUAAACCUUUUUUUAUAUGCAGUUGCAAUCAGCGUCAGUAUAACAAAUGUAAAUCAUUUA